rnacentral:lncRNA from 1 species
GCAUCACAGAGACCGGCCCGCUAGCUGAGAGACGCCAGCCAAGGAACAGCGAAGAAGCCCUUGGGUUGUCCGUGUGAGACUGUGGUUCUUUGGAUCACCCCAACUGGCCCUUCAGCUCCAGGUGACCACCCUGGCCGGGUGCCUCAAGGUCUGUAUCUGGGAAGCCCGAGGACAGCGGAGCCAGGGACCAGGCCCUCCCUAUUCAUGUGGUCUGAAUAAGGACCUUGCACUUUCAAGGCAGGUGCCGGAACCACUGAGCUAAAUCCCCGGCUCUAUUGUAUCUACUUUUAAGUCAGAAGUGUUUUAAAAGUCGAGAAGACGAGCACAAAUGAAACAGAUUUUGCCCUUCUGGACUCAUCAGGAAGUAGUGCAAAAAAUGGACACAUACGAGGCAGGACCUUGUGAGCGGUGAACCUCAACAAGACUCGGCUGUAGACUUGCUGCUUGGUACCUGGACCAGGGGCCUUGAGCUGAGACCUGGGACAGGAAGACUGGGUUACUGAUGGGAGCCAGUGAGCGUGGAGCUUCUCAG